rnacentral:rRNA from 1 species
UACGGAGGGUGCGAGCGUUGUCCGGAAUCAUUGGGCGUAAAGGGCGCGUAGGCGGCCGUCCCAAGCGUGCGGUGAAAGUCAGGGGCUCAACCCCUGAUCGGCCGUGCGAACUGGGGGGCUCGAGCACUGUAGAGGCAGGCGGAAUUCCGGGUGUAGCGGUGGAAUGCGUAGAGAUCCGGAAGAACACCGGUGGCGAAGGCGGCCUGCUGGGCAGUGGCUGACGC